rnacentral:rRNA from 1 species
GACGAACGCUGGCGGCGUGCUUAACACAUGCAAGUCGAACGGGUCUGCCCUGUUUUUUGCGGGGUGGGUCAGUGGCGAACGGGUGAGUAACACGUGAGUAACCUGCCCCUCACUUCUGGAUAACCGCUUGAAAGGGUGGCUAAUACGGGGUGUUCUGGCUGUGCCGCAUGGUGUGGCUGGGAAAGAUUCACUUUUGUGGUGUUUUGGUGGGGGAUGGGCUCGCGGCCUAUCAGCUUGUUGGUGGGGUGAUGGCCUGCCAAGGCUUUGACGGGUAGCCGGCCUGAGAGGGUGGGCGGUCACACUGGGACUGAGAUACGGCCCAGACUCCUGCGGGAGGCAGCAGUGAGGGGUAUUGCACAAUGGGCGGAAGCCUGAUGCAGCGACGUCGCGUGAGGGAUGGAGGCCUUCGGGUUGUGAACCUCUUUCGCCGGUGAAGAAGGUCCUGCUCUUUGUGGUGGGGUUGACGGUAGCCGGGUUAUGAAGCGCCGGCUAACUACGUG